rnacentral:snRNA from 1 species
GUGCUCGCUUCGGCAGAACAUAUACUAAAAUUGGAAUGAUACAGAGAAGAUUAGCAUGGCCCCUGCACGAGGAUGACACACAAAUUCGUGAAGCGUUAAAAAAAAAA